UGGGGCGUCGUCAAGCGGUAAGACACAAGGUUUUGAUCCUUGCAUUCGGGGGUUCGAUUCCCUCCGCCCCAGCCA
rnacentral:tRNA from 1 species